GGCUUUAAAAAAUGUUCCAGCUUCAGGAUUGAGUUGCUCUUACAACAGCCUUCGGCGAAAUCGGUUUCGGGAGGUUGAGGUGGAUUUCCCAAGUCAUGGCUCACAACUGUCUUUGGCCUUUUUGCUCUCCAAGUCUGUUAUACAUGGUAUGUAGGCGUGUAUCUUAACAACGGUUAAAGUCUUGCCUCAACCAUCCCCGAUUUUUGUGUUUUGGGAGAUGUGAUGUGACCCCACUACAUAUACGUUGGUACUAUAUCCUUUGAAGUAGGAGAAGUUGGUAUUUGAUCCAUGGAUUUUCCUGUAAUUGAUAUGUUUCUUUAUUCUCAUCACUUGUCUGUUUGAUACUGUGUUGUUAUUAUAAGGAGAAAUACUGUCUUGGUCACUCUUGGGAGCUUAAAUGUUAAGCAUUGGGUCAGUUUGCACAAAGUAUCACAUAACGCUGUAAUUAUCUCCUUUUUAGAACUCUUUCAACAACUUUUUUUCAAAUUUGAUGAAAAUCUCAAGAUGGUUUUAAAUCAGUUUAUCUCAGUGUCCCAAGGGGUCAAGAAUGAAAUUGAUAAGUGAAUUUUUGGUUUUGAAUAUGCCACAAUCCUCUUG